rnacentral:rRNA from 1 species
GACGAACGCUGGCGGCGUGCCUAAUACAUGCAAGUAGAACGCAGUCGGGAACGGGUGAGUAACUCGGAGGUGAUUGCCUCAUUGCCGGUGAUAAAGAUUGGAAACGAUAGCUAAUACCGCAUACUGUGAGCUUGACCUGCGUUGUAUUAGCUAGUUGGUUAGGUAAAGGCUCACCAAGGCGACGAUACAUAGCCAACCUGAGAGGGGGAUCGGCCACACUGGGACUGAGACACGGCCCAGACUCCUACGGGAGGCAGCAGUAGGGAAUCUUCGGCAAUGGACGGAAGCCUGACCGAGCAACGCCGCGUGAGUGAAGAAGGUUUUCGGAUCGUAAAGCUCUGUUGUUAGGGAAGCGGUACUUAACCAGAAAGGGACGGCUAACUACGUGCCAGCAGCCGCGGUAAUAC